rnacentral:rRNA from 1 species
AUACACUUAAUAUACAAGCAAGAAUCAUUACUGAAAGGACCAUAGAGAUGAGGUAAUAUAAACUGAAUGCAGUGAGCCUCAAUUUUACAAAUACACACCGAAUCUUAGCAUUGUACUACUGAAGAACCUUGAUGCUUGCAGAACACACAAACUCAUUCUCCCCAAACUUUGCAGUCUUGGAACAACAAAACCCAUGGUACCCAGCAGCUGCGCAAAGAACGGACAAGCAACAUAUCACCUUGCUGAUUACUGCACCAAAAUACGCGGCAGAUCAGAAAAAUCCUGAAGAAAUGGGAUUUGGAGAGAGAGACAUCGUGACGGAGGACAGGAGCAUGGCUUGGUGAGGGAGAAGACGGCGGCACACUUAGUGCAGGAUGAUGGACAGCGGCGAUGCUCCAGCUGGGCGUGGUCUAGGCGACUGUGGCGAGAUGAGUUCCUCGGGAUGGAUGCGUGGGAUGAGGGGAUGGAUCACGCUUGUAAGGAACGUAUCAAUGCCGCGCUGAGCGAGCUUGCCGUGCAGCUCAUGGAGGCGACCGACCUCGCGCGCCGUGCCACCUCGGCCGCGAGCUGGAACGUCCACCGCACCGUGCAUCUGGCGCGCAGGAUGGAGGCAGCUAACAAGGGCAUCGACGGCGUACGACGCGGGUCGACGAGGCCGAAGCACGCAUCGGGCGCCUGGAGCGCCGCGUCGAGGAGGUCGUCGCGAUGCAGGCACCCGCCAUGUCCCUCCUGUCAGAGCGAAUCGCGUUGGGCGGCCCGCAUCAAGCUCAGAUGGCGUCCGGAGGGACCGGACGGUGGCGCCCUAAACCUAAGCGUCGCCUGGCUCUCAAGGGAC